GAAUUUUCCUCAAAGCUUCAUUGUCUAAACUCUGAACCUCAUCAUAACCUCAGUUCUGCCUAGCUCCAUAACUAGUAGGUUUCACAAUUUGAUGUCCUCUUGCUGUGCUGACCCACUUGGAACUGGCCAUUCAGCAAGAUCCUAGAAUCUGGGGAUCAGAGACUACAACCCGGAAGGGACCAGGCUCAGAGCCCUGUGGGGUACUAGGCAGGAGGCUCUGACAUUCUGCCACCAACACACAGGAAGCAAACAGGUUUUUUUCUACUGGUGUUGGUGUACUUUGUGCUCAGAGAAUAGAAUAUCCCAGGGGAGUGUCAAACCAUGAGAAAAGGAAAGGUGGAUUGGGACACUGGUGCUGGCACCCACUUGCUUAUUUGCUGAGGCUUUUUGGUCCUUCUUGUUCCUCAGAGAAAGGUUACCAAGCAACGGCUUCAGGCAAAUCACCUCAGAUCUGCUCUCCAUUCCCCCAGGGUUGUGGGGGUCCGAAGCACAAGCAGAUGUCUGGAGGGAGCUAUUACUCACAUCCUCCCCUUCUUAAUUUCCCCUUCUUAAUUUCGCUCGGUGGCAGUAGCAGCAGUCACAGACCAAUCUCUAUCACUUCAGGAAAGAAGGGGGCAGAAACAGAUGCGUAGAGCAGCUUCUGAAGAUCAGCAGGCCUGUGCAGCAUCAUCUGAGGGUCCCCAGAAUUAAAGCAACAUGAAACCCUUCAUACUGAGUGUGGCCACUUCCCACUGACCAUGACUCACAAAUGGUGAGGCCACCUGACAGCGUUGAAGAUAAUUACUAUUCAUCCUCUUCUGCUAAUAGAAACUAUUUUCUCCCCUAAUCUAGGUUUCCAAUUUUAGAAGCUGCCCUGUCCUCAUAAAAGAAUUACCAGGAAGGUAGGAGGUUUGUUUGUUUGCUUUUCUGUGCAUCUAAGUACCCUGACAAUCUAAUCUCUGGAGAGUCUCAGUAACCAGGCAACACAAGUCAUGCUCCAAUUGUGCGGUCCUCAAUCCACUUUUCCUGUGCUAUUCCAGUUCAAAGUAAGAAUACCAAAGCCAGAACUGCAGAAGAUAAAUGUGGAUCUUUAUUACUACAAGCAGAUAACGGGGUCUGCCCCCUCUUCUUAUUGCUGAGUAGAAAUUCUGAGGCAAGUGCUUUUAAAAAGACUAGAACAGCACAUUUUACCUAAGAAUAAGAUUAUAGCUAGUAACCUGUUUUUCUUACAAAAAAAGAAAAUGGAAGGAGAUAGCUUUUGUCUGGUGACAGUUUAUUUUAACCCAGAUGCUUCCUCCACUUGUAAUUUGGCCUCAUUUGUGUUUUCAGAAACAUCACCAAUUCAGACGGGUUUCUUGGGUAAGGACUUAAUGGACAAGGUUAAACACAGCUGUUCUGGUGCCUGAAAUCCUUAAGAGUCUAGCAGGACCGGAGCAAGUAAAAUAAACUCAGAAAGAGCUGUCUGGAUCAGUGUUUCUAGAGACAAAAUGAGUAUAAAUGAGCAUGGAGUCAACAGGCCUCCUGGGUCAAGGUCAGAGGCAACCUGGGGACACGGAUUAACAGCGGAAGAACACUGCCUAUAGUACAUUUGCUAUGAGACAGCACAGAAUUGGACAUUCUGGCCUUUAAUCAUCAGGCUAUCACAAGGAAAAGUGGUCCAGAUUUAGUACUGUGUCAGCACUUUUUAUAAUAAAUGCUUCAUUUACUAGGAAUUUAGCUAUCGAGUUGCAGAUGAUAAAAAUGACACUCAAAUGCAAGGUCAAACAGCAAACAUUUAUAAUUCCUGUCUAUUAGCUAAAUACACAGUCCUAAUUAUCCAGGUGAAAGGGGUAAUUGUUUUCCCAAACAGUGCCUCAAUCUCCAGUGAUUUACAAAGCACUUUUACACACAUCAUCUCGUCACAGUGGUGUGUAUGCCCUUGUUACACAGAUGGAUUGAACUGGAAAUUGUUUCAUUUGCCAGUUUUAAGUAUCUUCCUUUUCCCUGUGGGUGGUUUCUGUAAGGCCUGAUGGACAUAUUAUCAUCUGGAUCUUCCAGGCAAUGACACCUCUAAAGAGGCCGAUGAACUAGAACUAUCAGUUCUAACACCUUAGGCAAGAAUCCCUCAAUCUCUCUGGGUUUCAGCUUCUUCAUGUGUAUACUGUAGAUAUGUUGUCAAAAUUGUGCUAAUCUUCACCAACUAAUAAGAAAUGAUAAGAAUGAGAUUUUGUGGAUAUGGGACUUUAAUAUACAGUGAGAGGAAUAUAAAUCAGCAUGACUUUUUGCUGGUGUUAUGUAAUAAAAUGUAAAACGUACAUACCAUUUCAUGCAGAAAAUUUAUAUCCAAGAAUCUAUCCCAAUGAGGUAGUUACAUAAAUAUGCAAGUAUACACAAGAUGUUCAUCACAAUUAGAAACAACCAAAAUGUCCACCAACAUGAGACUAGUUCAAAAAGAUACGAGGUAUUCAUACAAGAGACUUUAUGCAUCCACUGAAAAGAAUCAUGUAAUUCAUAUUGGUUGACUCAAAUAGAAGCUCCAUCACAUAUUUUCAAGACAAAAGGAAUUACAAAGCAGUAUGGUUGAUAUAAUCCCAUUUAUGUGCAAAUCAAAUAAAUUCCAGAUUUCACUGUGGUUCAAUUCAGCCCAGUGUCACAUUCACAGAAACAACCCAGCAACAAAAAGGCAUUACAGAGUAAUUUCAGCCUUGGCUCUCCAUUUUCAGAAAACAUUAAAGAACCUACAAUUCCUAACCCACAGCACCACAUCUUAAAAUAGUCUCUGUAUCCCACCUUUUUCAUCUUGUUCUCUAAUUCUCACACUGUAAUAGCUCCUGAAGGCUUUCUCCUCCCCAAUAUGCUUUUCUACUCUCAACCAAAGACAUCACAAUGAUACUCAAACAGAUCAGCCACUUCUCUUUUGUCCCUCUUCCUUCUUCCUUUGUUUUUUUUCUUCACUGAUUACCAUACUCCGAAAAAUAAGGUGGAGAAAGAAGAAAAUGCUAAGUGGACAAAAUUUCCUUUCCAGAGAGUAGGAGAAAAAGAGAUUGACUAUGCAUAUACUACAAUGUCUUAACCUUGUAGCAAGCGCAAAAUUAUUUAAGUGAUAUCUACUGCAUAUAUGCCUAGAAGUGUCUGCAAGGAUGUUGACAAAAUUCUUAAGAAUAAUUAUCUCAGUUGGGAUUUCCCUGUGAACUUUGCUUUUAAUUUUAUAUCUCUCCUUAUACCUCUUUGAGUAACUCAUGAUGAACAUGUUUUGUUUGUGAUCAAAACCACGAAAUAAACUCAUGUCAACAUGUAAAAAAAGAGGUUGUAAUGAUGCUCACAAGAAACAAUAGACAUGAAAAAAUACACAAUUUAAGUACAAAGUAUAAGCAUUUUAAAUAAAUACGAUUGGACUGUCUCUUCCAGUUUCCAACAUUAAUAAGCUCCAUUAUUUUGGAAUUAUUUUAAUUACUCCUACAUGUUAGAGUUGGUUAAUU
rnacentral:lncRNA from 1 species